rnacentral:rRNA from 1 species
ACGGACGAUGAAAAGCUUGCUUUUCAAAGUUAGUGGCGGACGGGUGAGUAACGCGUGGGUAACCUGCCUCAUACAGGGGAAUAGCAGCUGGAAACGGCUGAUAAAACCGCAUAAGCGCACAGUGCCGCAUGGCACAGUGCGAAAAACUCCGGUGGUAUGAGAUGGACCCGCGUCUGAUUAGCUUGUUGGCGGGGUAACGGCCCACCAAGGCGACGAUCAGUAGCCGGCCUGAGAGGGUGAUCGGCCACAUUGGGACUGAGACACGGCCCAAACUCCUACGGGAGGCAGCAGUGGGGAAUAUUGCACAAUGGGGGAAACCCUGAUGCAGCGACGCCGCGUGAAGGAAGAAGUAUCUCGGUAUGUAAACUUCUAUCAGCAGGGAAGAUAAUGACGGUACCUGACUAAGAAGCCCCGGCUAACUACGUGCCAGCAGCCGCGGUAAUACGUAGGGGGCAAGCGUUAUCCGGAUUUACUGGGUGUAAAGGGAGCGUAGGCGGCGGAGCAAGUCAGAAGUGAAAGCCCGGGGCUCAACCCCGGGACGGCUUUUGAAACUGCCCUGCUUGAUUUCAGGAGAGGUAAGCGGAAUUCCUAGUGUAGCGGUGAAAUGCGUAGAUAUUAGGAGGAACACCAGUGGCGAAGGCGGCUUACUGGACUGACAAUGACGCUGAGGCU